UACGUAGGGUGCAAGCGUUGUCCGGAAUUAUUGGGCGUAAAGAGCUCGUAGGCGGUCUGUCGCGUCUGCUGUGAAAUCCCGAGGCUCAACCCCGGGCUUGCAGUGGAUACGGGCAGACUAGAGUUCGGUAGGGGAGACUGGAAUUCCUGGUGUAGCGGUGAAAUGCGCAGAUAUCAGGAGGAACACCGGUGGCGAAGGCGGGUCUCUGGGCCGAUACUGACGCUGAGGAGCGAAAGCGUGGGGAGCGAACAGG
rnacentral:rRNA from 1 species